rnacentral:lncRNA from 1 species
AAUAUAAUCAAAUGAAUUGAUGUCAAUCACCUCACUGCCUUGCUAAUUAGAACCUAAAAUGAUUGUACACCGAUACACUCUUGUAGUGAGUAAUUAAUGGAUGAAGGAAAUAAUUAAUUGGAUUAAUUAAGUGUUGUGAUUAAUUUAGGAAGUCUAAAGAAAUCAUGAAAGCGAUAAAAGAUCGUUUUGGGCUUAAAGAAACGUUCGGGUUUAAUUGGGCCCAUUGGGCCUAAACCCA